rnacentral:rRNA from 1 species
AUUGAACGCUGGCGGCAGGCCUAACACAUGCAAGUCGAGCGAGCGGCGGACGGGUGAGGAAUGUCUGGGAAACUGCCUGAUGGCGGGGGAUAACUCCUGGAAACGGUAUCUAAUACCGCAUACCAUCAGCUUUGCCCAGAGGGGAUUAGCUAGUAGGUGGGGUAACGGUUCACCUCGGCGACGAUCCCUAGCUGGUCUGAGAGGAUGACCAGCCACACUGGAACUGAGACACGGUCCAGACUCCUACGGGAGGCAGCAGUGGGGAAUAUUGCACAAUGGGCGCAAGCCUGAUGCAGCCAUGCCGCGUGUAUGAAGAAGGCCUUCGGGUUGUAAAGUACUUUCAGCGGGGAGGCGUUACCCGCAGAAGAAGCACCGGCUAACUCCGUGCCAGCAGCCGCGGUAAUUC